UUAAACUGCUACCAAGACUGCAUUUGAUAGACUCAGCUGUGUGCCUCCCUCAUAUUCUUAGAUGGAGUUUAGUGCAGUACGGUACAUAUAAUGAACCUCAAAUGUUUGGUUAUUUUGCAAAAAAAUGUUUCAGCAUGGUCAAAAUUUCAAUUGAUAUAUUAUACAUCGUUGUAUCUAAAUCCCAUUAUUCUAUCUUCAACUUGUCUCCAGCUGGAGUUAAUGAAAAUUUCCAUUCUCUCCAACCUUAUGAUAAUUAUAGUAUUUACUUGGUUUUUUUCUUGGUUCAUUAAUACUAUGCAAGAGUUGAAGCGGAAGGAAGAUGCUGCUGCAAGAGCCGGUAUUGUUCUUGAGGCAAAGAAUUGGCCACUGGUCUUCCCAAUAAUCCAUCAUGAUAUUGCGAAUGAAAUACCAAUUCAUCUGUAGAGGCUGCAAUACUGGCUUUUACAACCUUCAUAGGGCUGUUUGCAUGUCUCCUAAGGAAUAUAAUUGCUGUCACUACUGCAUGGAUUAAAAAUGGAG